rnacentral:rRNA from 1 species
UACGUAGGGUGCAAGCGUUGUCCGGAAUUAUUGGGCGUAAAGAGCUCGUAGGCGGUCUGUCGCGUCGGCUGUGAAAGCACCGGGGCUCAACCCCCGGGCCUGCAGUGGGUACGGGCAGACUAGAGUGUGGUAGGGGAGACUGGAAUUCCUGGUGUAGCGGUGAAAUGCGCAGAUAUCAGGAGGAACACCGAUGGCGAAGGCAGGUCUCUGGGCCAUAACUGACGCUGAGAAGCGAAAGCAUGGGGAGCGAACAGG